rfam:Astyanax mexicanus chromosome 1, whole genome shotgun sequence.
UCCCAUAUGGUCUAACGCGUAGGAUUUCUGGCUUUCAUCCAGACGGUCUGGGUUCGAAUCCCGGUAUGGGAA